AAAAUAUUUAGAUUUGGAGAAGAGAAAGGAAGAGCUCUGAAGCUGAACAAGGAUCGUCGUUUGGCACAGGAGAGGAAGAACGCUGCUUUGUUUGACGAGUAACAAGAAA